UAAAGCAUUACACACAAGGCAGCUAUGAUACACUGUGUUGUAAUUGGCCAAAAAUGCAGAUUGGUAACACCAGUCACCUAAGCCACCAUUGCCAUUGCAGACAAGAGUGUGAAGUAACAGCCCCUACAGUUUACAGCAAAGCCCUCGACUGUAGCCCUACAAACUUCAGAUACUGCCGAUGGCGUAGAUGCACUGAACUUUGCCAGUUUUUCAGCUAUGUUGAAUUGACAUCUCCAACUGAUUUUAAGAGCCAGGAUUGAUAUCAGACUGCUUGACAGCACGGACCUCUUUCUUGGGUGGAUGGAUUCAGAGAUGACCUACAGAUGCAGCCAUGACUGUGGCACAUGAAUGUUAUAGAUGAUGACUGUAAAGAAAUGAUGAUAGCAGAAAAAUGAAACUAUCUUAAUAUGGUUUUCUGGAAUUAAAUUAGCAGACAAAGUAUUCAUAUUUCUGUGGAAAAAUAAUGUCAUAGCUGAAAUAUGUUUUGCAAAUUCAAAAUGGUAAUGUUUUUCUCAUAUUUUAUGCUGGCAUCACAAAUAUUAUCAUUGGCUCUGUAUACGGUAAUCUCUCACUUCAAAACAUAACUAAUUGGACUAUUUGAAGAUUAAAUCUUCAUUAUUUUUAUUUAAUAUAAAAUGCUAUGCUGGUUUUACUGUCUUAAAUAAUGUUACUUAUUAUGUCUGAAAAGCCUAAAAUAAAGUUUACAAAUUU